UGCGGGUUGAUAUCUCGGAUGC
rnacentral:siRNA from 1 species